AGGGAGAUGUUUAGCUUCUCAGCUGUGGCUCCAGGAAACAUAAUUUAUAUUUAUCAAUAUAUAAUCAUAUACAUUUUUAUUAUAUCUAUCUGUGUGUGUUUGGUGUGUAUGUGUGUUUGCAUGUGCUCUCUUCUGUCUUACAGCAGCUCGUGUGAAACACUGUGGUUCUUACAGUACAGUUCUUCCCUGGAUUGUUGCUGGUGUAUCUCUCACUUUGAAUGCCUUCUGCAUAACCUACAUAUGGUUCCUCUGGAAUUCAAGAAAAAAGGUGAACCUACAUCAGGAGGAGAGAACCUACAUGUCACUGCAAAAAGCGGAUGUGUCACCAGAUUAUGAUGUUCUUGCACAACAUAUAAACU